GACAGAGGGGGCAGGCGUUGCUCGGAAUUACUGGGCGUAAAGGGCGCGUAGGCGGGAUGGCAAGUCGGUCGUGAAAUCCCUCGGCUCAACCGAGGAACGUCGAUCGAUACUGCUGUUCUUGAGGAUUGCAGAGGAGACUGGAAUUCCCGGUGUAGCGGUGAAAUGUGUAGAGAUCGGGAGGAACACCGGUGGCGAAGGCGGGUCUCUGGGCAAUUCCUGACGCUGAGGCGCGAAAGCGUGGGGAGCAAACGGG
rnacentral:rRNA from 1 species